UCUGGUUGAUCCUGCCGGAGGCUACCGCUAUUGGAGUUCGAUUAAGCCAUGCGAGUCGCGAGUCUUAGGGACUCGGCGUACCGCUCAGUAACACGUGGGUAACCUGCCCUAUGCUGGGGGAUAACCUCGGGAAACUGAGAAUAAUACCCCAUAGUUCACCACGCCUGGAACGGUGGGUGGAUGAAAGCUCCGGCGGCAUAGGAUGGGCCUGCGGCGUAUCAGGUUGUAGGGGGUGUAAUGUACCCUCUAGCCAUCUACGCGUACGGGUGUUGGGAGACAUCGCCCGGAGAUGGAUUCUGAGACACGAAUCCAGACCCUACGGGGUGCAGCAGGCGCGAAAACUUGGCAAUGCGAGCAAUCGUGACCAGGGAACUCCAAGUGCAUCGGGUAAGACCGAUGCUUUUCUUGACUCUUCAAAGGUCUUGGAAUAAGGGGUGGGUAAGGACGGUGCCAGCCGCCGCGGUAAUACCGGCGCCUCAAGUGGUAGUCGCUUUUAUUGGGCCGAAAACGUCCGUAGCCGGUUUGGUACAUUCGUGGGUAAAUCAAGGCGCUCAACGUCUUGAAUUCUGCGAGCACGGCCAGACUUGGGACCGGGUGAGGUGUGGGGUACUCUCAGGGUAGGGGUAAAAUCCUGUCAUCCUGAGAGGACCACCUGUUGCGAAGGCGCCACACUAGAACGGAUCCGACGGUCAGGGACGAAGCCUAGGGGCACGAACCGGAUUAGAUACCCGGGUAGUCC
rnacentral:rRNA from 1 species